GAUGAAGAACGCAGCGAAAUGCGAUACGUAAUGUGAAUUGCAGAAUUCAGUGAAUCAUCGAGUCUUUGAACGCACAUUGCGCCCCCUGGUAUUCCGGGGGGCAUGCCUGUCCGAGCGUCAUUGCUGCCCUCAAGCACGGCUUGUGUGUUGGGCCUCCGUCCUCCUCCCGGGGGACGGGCCCGAAAGGCAGCGGCGGCACCGCGUCCGGUCCUCGAGCGUAUGGGGCUUCGUCACCCGCUCUUGUAGGCCCGGCCGGCGCUUGCCGACACAUCAAUCUUUUUUCCAGGUUGACCUCGGAUCAGGUAGGGAUACCCGCUGAACUUAAGCAUAUCAAUAAGCGGGG
rnacentral:misc_RNA from 1 species